UCAGAUUCUGUAGUAUAAUACGAUGAAGGUGUUGUUUGUUCCCGAUUUGCUCCACAAGUGGAUAAAAUCCCACACUUUUCUGAAGUUGCCAUAGCGGAAGGAUUAAUAACAGUUGUAAUGCGAAGUAGUGUCAUAAUUAUUUCCGUCAACCAUUUACGUCCUAGCCUUUAUACCCGUGUUAAAAAGCUCCGACAUGCACAUAUGCUUGCAUUUAUUUAUGAAUUAUUGCAAUUCGGACGAAAAUGACGAGGUAUCUGUCCGUGCAUGACCUUGUUCGCGGAAGUUAGUUUUGUCAAUAAGACGAUAAACCGAACAAAAAGAAUUUUCGUGCCAGGACUGGACUGGGCUUCGUGUUAUGCAACAAAAUUUCGGGAAAAGUACAGCGGAAGUCGACGUAAUUUCAUAUCAUUUUUACAAAUGCUGUCAUUUGGUGCUUUGUUUGAUUUUUAAGUGCAUGCUCACAUUGAUAACCGAAACUGCACCGUAAUCGUUUCUAAUUAUUUAUUUCACAAAUAAAAAUUAAACAUUCGGGAGCUAUUUUAAGCACGGACCGAACAUCUGAUAAUACACAAUGAUUGGUACUUGUUUUUUACGGUAAAUUAACUAUUUAUCCAGUGGGGUAUUUAGUCCAGACAUCAAUAAAUUCAAUAUUUAAAGAUUUUUUAUAAAUUUGGAGCUGAUCAAGGAUAAGGAUAAUAACUUUUUUUCUAGUUAAUUUGAAGCACUGUUUAAUUUAGUUGUGAUUGGUUAAGGGUGGCUCCCCUAUACACCACCAUGGCAUGAUAAAUGGAAGCCAAUGGUUCGAUGGGUCCCUCACCAGGUAGAAAAAUAUCUUCGGCCAUUAUUAAAGGGAAUCCCUGAAAUUAAACCCAACCUCCUGAGCGUUUGAGUCUUCAAGUCUUCAAUUUUCUGAGGAGAAAUUAUACGUCUAUGCGUAUGAGGGGACAAUCUUUUCUGUGCAUAAAUGGAAGCUACAUAAUGGUGUCUGUUUAUUAGAUAACAGAUGGCAAAGCGGCGAAGCAAGUGAACAUUUACCAAAGCCACUUCUAAUUACCCUUUUUUUCAUAAAUGUACAUACAAGUACCACGAUAUUCAAUGUAAUUACAAGUUAAUUGCACCCAUUAUGCAAUAGAUACAUUGGCAAGUUGUUGGGUUUUCACUCGAGCGAAUUGUCCAAAUUAUGACCAAUAAAAACUGGGUUUACGUUAAAAAAUGUGUAGUAAAU